CCCCUCUCAAGGUUGUACCUGGAGAGUUUCCAGUACUCUACCAGUUUCAACUACGGGAGGGAGAGACAAGUAGAGGCCUAGCCAUUCCACUCCUAGCUUAGGCAAUGGCUAGCGAGUGGAAGGCCAUCUGCUGAAAGU